GACAGAGGAUGCAAGCGUUAUCCGGAAUGAUUGGGCGUAAAGCGUCUGUAGGUGGCUUUUUAAGUCCGCCGUCAAAUCCCAGGGCUCAACCCUGGACAGGCGGUGGAAACUACCAAGCUGGAGUACGGUAGGGGGCAGAGGGAAUUUCCGGUGGAGCGGUGAAAUGCGUAGAUAUCGGGAAGAACACCAAAGGCGAAAGCGCUCUGCUGGGCCGAAACUGACACUGAGAGACGAAAGCUAGGGGAGCGAAUGGG
rnacentral:rRNA from 1 species